rnacentral:lncRNA from 1 species
UUUAGUUGUUCUUGAUGCGUUAAGACCCUUGUCUUAUAUGUAUUUACUUUUAGGUUUGUCGAUGUUGAUAUUGAGAAAGCAAUGCAACGUGUCCUAAAGAGACAUAUAUCUACAGGUACAUAUUCCAACUGUUGUCAACUCUUUUUACUAGAAAAGGUGUAAACAAAACUGGGUAGUAGACUGAUUGGAGUCUUUUCAUUUGUGUUGUAGGGAAGGCCCCUGAUGUUGCUAAGUGGCGGGUAAGUGUUGCCCCUUUCGAAAAUAACAACAACAACAACAAGAACAAUAAACCUAGUGUAAUCCCACAAGUGGGGUAUGGGGAGGGUAAUGUGUAUGCAGACCUUACUCCUGCCUUGUGAUGAUAGAGAGGUUGUUUCCGAUAGACCCUCGGCUCAAGGAACAAUCAAAAAAAGCAACAAACAAUAGCAAUAAGGUAAUAGGAUAACGGAAGCAAACGACACAACGUACAAUAAUAAAGAUCCAAGAAUAAGAAAAACAAGAAUAGUGCUAGUACUACUGGUAAGACUAGGAGAAACUCUUGUCUGUUUGUCAACCUUCAACCCGACCUCCACAUCUUUUUAUCAAGGGUCAUGUCCUCGGUAAGCUGAAGCAAUGACAUGUCCUGCCUAAUCACCUCUCCCCAGUACUUCUUUGGCCUACCUUGUGUUUUAAAAAGCGAUCGCUUCGUCGCUUUAAGUGAGAAG